UGCCAGACUCCUACGGGAGGCAGCAGUGGGGAAUAUUGCACAAUGGGGGAAACCCUGAUGCAGCGACGCCGCGUGAGUGAAGAAGCAUUUCGGUAUGUAAAGCUCUAUCAGCAGGGAAGAAAAUGACGGUACCUGACUAAGAAGCCCCGGCUAACUACGUGCCAGCAGCCGCGGUAAUACGUAGGGGGCAAGCGUUAUCCGGAUUUACUGGGUGUAAAGGGAGCGUAGACGGUCCUGCAAGCCAGAUGUGAAAGCCCGGGGCUCAACCCCGGGACUGCAUUUGGAACUGUAAGGCUAGAGUGUCGGAGAGGCAGGCGGAAUUCCUAGUGUAGCGGUGAAAUGCGUAGAUAUUAGGAGGAACACCAGUGGCGAAGGCGGCCUGCUGGACAGUAACUGACGUUGAGGCUCGAAAGCGUGGGGAGCAAACAGGAUUAGAUACCCCGGUAC
rnacentral:rRNA from 1 species